AUUGAACGCUGGCGGCAUGCCUUACACAUGCAAGUCGAACGGCAGCACGGGUGCUUGCACCUGGUGGCGAGUGGCGAACGGGUGAGUAAUACAUCGGAACAUGUCCUGUCGUGGGGGAUAGCCCGGCGAAAGCCGGCUUAAUACCGCAUACGAUCUACGGAUGAAAGCGGGGGACCUUCGGGCCUCGCGCUAUAGGGUUGGCAGAUGGCUGAUUAGCUAGUUGGUGGGGUAAAGGCCUACCAAGGCGACGAUCAGUAGCUGGUCUGAGAGGACGACCAGCCACACUGGGACUGAGACACGGCCCAGACUCCUACGGGAGGCAGCAGUGGGGAAUUUUGGACAAUGGGCGAAAGCCUGAUCCAGCAAUGCCGCGUGUGUGAAGAAGGCCUUCGGGUUGUAAAGCACUUUUGUCCGGAAAGAAAUCCUUGGCCCUAAUACGGUCGGGGGAUGACGGUACCGGAAGAAUAAGCACCGGCUAACUACGUG
rnacentral:rRNA from 1 species